rnacentral:lncRNA from 1 species
GUAAAUCUUGAAAACAAAAAAGACAAAAUUCUUAACCAAGUAUACUAGUGUUGUUGCUUUGGUUGUGUUGUGUUCUUCCAUGGAUUGGUUAGUGUACUGAUUCCGACCAACUCUUAUUCUUCCUUCAACUCUGUAAUUUCAACAACCCAAAACCCUAAAACCCCUUUUUUUUCUACUAAUUCCUCGCCGGAAUUUCUACACCUCAUCGUAUAUCGGUAAGUAUAAUUCAAUUUAAAGGUUUCAUCAUCUUUCUCUUUCCCCUCUCAUUUUUUCAAUUUCUUCAAUCAAACACUACAUUACAAAAUAAUAUCUGCUAUUGAAAUGAAUUCAGAUGAAGCAUGGAA